GAUGAACGCUGGCGGCGUGCUUAACACAUGCAAGUCGAACGAUGAAGCCCAGCUUGCUGGGUGGAUUAGUGGCGAACGGGUGAGUAACACGUGAGCAACCUGCCCCUGACUCUGGGAUAAGCGCUGGAAACGGCGUCUAAUACUGGAUAUGUCCCGUCACCGCAUGGUGUGCGGGUGGAAAGAUUUUUCGGUUGGGGAUGGGCUCGCGGCCUAUCAGCUUGUUGGUGAGGUAAUGGCUCACCAAGGCGUCGCCGGGUAGCCGGCCUGAGAGGGUGACCGGCCACACUGGGACUGAGACACGGCCCAGACUCCUACGGGAGGCAGAAGUGGAGAGUAUUGCACAAUGGGCGGAAGCCUGAUGCAGCAACGCCGCGUGAGGGAUGACGGCCUUCGGGUUGUAAACCUCUUUGAGCAGGGAAGAAGCGAAAGUGACGGUACCUGCAGAGAAAGCACCGGCUAACUACGUG
rnacentral:rRNA from 1 species